rnacentral:rRNA from 1 species
CCUACGGGGUGCUGCAGUGAGGAAUAUUGGUCAAUGGUCGGGAGACUGAACCAGCCAAGCCGCGUGAGGGAUGAAGGUACAGAGUAUCGUAAACCUCUUUUGUCAGGGAACAAAGGCGGGGACGUGUCCCCGGAUGAGUGUACCUGAAGAAAAAGCAUCGGCUAACUCCGUGCCAGCAGCCGCGGUAAUACGGAGGCUGCGAGCGUUAUCCGGCUUUCUUGGGGUUAAUGGGUGCGGAGGCGGUCUGUUAAGUUAGCGGUCACACCCCGGGGCUCACCCCCGGCCCGCCGUUGAACCUGGCAGUCUCGAGUUGGAGAGAAGUAUGCGGAAUGCGCGGUGUAGCUGUGAAAUGCAUAGAUAUCGCGCAGAACUCCGAGUGCGAAGGCAGCAUGCCGGCUCCACACUGACGCUGAGGCACGAAAGCGUGGGUAUCGAACAGGAUUAGAUACCCGUGUAGUC